rnacentral:rRNA from 1 species
CUUGGUCAUUUAGAGGAAGUAAAAGUCGUAACAAGGUUUCCGUAGGUGAACCUGCGGAAGGAUCAUUAGUGAACGCCCUCACGGGCUUAUAACUAUUCCAAACCUCUGUGAACCGUGCCCUUCGGGGCUAUUUUACAAACAUGGUGUAAUGAACGUCAUAUAUCAUAACAAAACAAAACUUUCAACAACGGAUCUCUUGGCUCUCGCAUCGAUGAAGAACGCAGCGAAAUGCGAUAAGUAAUGUGAAUUGCAGAAUUCAGUGAAUCAUCGAAUCUUUGAACGCACCUUGCGCCCUCUGGUAUUCCGGAGGGCAUGCCUGUUUGAGUGUCAUGUAGACUCAAUCCCUCGGGUUUCCGAGGAGAUUGGACUUGGGUGUUGCCGCUCUACCGGCUCGCCUUAAAAGACUUAGCGGGAUAGCACCGUAGUCGGCGUAAUAAGUUUCGUCGGUGAAGGUUGUGAUGACUGCUUACAAUCGCCCUUGGGCAAUUUUUGACUCUGACCUCAAAUCAGGUAGGACUACCCGCUGAACUUAAGCAUAUCAAUAAGCGGAGGA